AAUACAAACAAAACAUCCACUCACUGAAACAAAACAAACAGGAACACGUUCAAUGUUGAAAAAUCCCCAAAUCCCUAAUACAAACACUCUCAUUAUCGUUCCCGUCGAGAGAAGCGUACGAGUUCUUCAUUCUUUCUCCAAACUCUUCACCUUAAAUCACUCUACCUCUCCAAUCCCUUUAUCGUUUCCAUCGAGAGAAGUGAGAAGUGUGUUUUGCAAAUUCGUCCAAUUUUCGUUUUCUACAAGUUCGUGUUUUCCUUUUCUUCGUUGUUCUUAUUUUCGUUUCUUUUCUGACUUCGUUUGUGUUGAUGACAGCAUGGUUCGUUGAGAGUUGUAGCUCGAGCACAAAUUGAGGGUUUAGCGUGGUUCCUAAUUAGGGUUUUUGUUCUUAUCUUUUAUGUGUUCUUAUCUUUUUUGUUUCUCUCAGAUUUAGGGUUUUUGUUUCUCUUUGUCUUUGAUUAUGAUUAUGAUGAUUUAGGGAUUUUGUAUUUUAAAUUGAUUUUGUUAUUUUCUUACUUUUUUUUCUCUUUUUUUUUAUUGGACUGUUGGUAGUGAUAGCAAAUUCUGAGCUGUGAAGUCUAGGGUAGUAGCUGCAGAGAUGAACAAGUGAUUUAUUGUUGCAGGUUAGUUGCUUGCCAUAUUUGUUAUGUUGUUAUGUCUUGAAUGACUCAUGAUGUUGAACAUAUGCUUAGAAAUUAUUUUUAGGAUCAUAGAUUUAAUUUCAGUAUGACUAAAUUUGAAUGGAAUAAUGUCUAAUGUCUUAUUUAUUUAAGGAUUUGUGUCUAGUAAAUAUACUAGUAAUAGUUGAUAUUUGAGUGGAAAAUAUCAUUGAAGAUAGUCCUAGUUAUAGAUUCUCAUAAAAGCUAUGCUUAUUGCAGGGGAGAAGUCAAAUAUGCUUAUUGCAGGGGAGAAGUCAAAUAUGCUUAUUGCAUAUGUAAUUGAACUUAUGUUCAUAGGUUAGGUUGUCUUCUGGUGCAUCUUAUGUGUUAAGUUCUUAAUGCAACUUACAUCAAAGGAAUGCACAUAUAUCCUUCCAUACAUCGAUCAUAUACUUUUCAGCAAUCUAGAACAUAAUUUGUUUUAUAAAUCAUUAUUUUGAGUGGAGAAUACUUUACAUGGUCUAUCUAAUUGAAUUAAUUGUGUUUCUAGAAUGAACAGAGUCAUUAAGUUUCUUUUGAUUGACAAGUUUUGCAUCUGAUUGUAUAAUUGCAUUAUGAGUUUAUGUUAUUGUCUUGUGUUGUUUUUUGUUAUUUCAAAUGUGAACAUAAGGUGUGAUAUUGUCUUGUUUUAACAAAUGGGUGAAUAAGAAAAUUGGACUCUGUAAUUUAGGUGUUUGUCGAGGACUAAUUGUUGGCAAUUAGUCCAUUGCACAAUUGUAAUUAUAUCAUGGAAUAACUUCUUUCGAGCUUCAGGUUCGUUCAAUCCUUAAUCCUUUUUAGAUUCAUCUUCAAAUUCGUUCAAUCCCGAAAACAUAUCGUAGUAUGACAAGAUACUGAAAUAUGAUAAGACGUUCACAUAAAAUUUAUUGCAUAUUACUAAUUUUCUUUUAUAAAAUUUGCUUGUUUCAGGUAUCACUGCUUAGGAGAUAUAUAAUUUGGAUAUGUAAUAGUAGCAGUAGAUCAAGGGAAACUGUUUACAAGUAAUGAGGUCUUCAUAUAGUAGAGCCUUUUAGGAGUUUUGGAGGAAAACAAUGUUGGAGGAUCACCCUUUGAUUUUCAUCAGACAAUGAUUAUACUAGGAGGUAACUAAAUUAGAAGAGUCAAGAAAUGGUAGACGUUCCGAGUCUAGCUAGCACUAAUUAAGGAUCAUGAAGCAACAUCACGUACCAGAGAAUAUUUAGUUGUUUUGUGAACUUAUUUUGAUGUAAUGUUUUGUAUGUUUAGCCAUUUUACUAAUGUUUAUGCGUUAGUUUUUAAAUGUUUGAACGACAUAACUUUUUUAUUCUUUUGGAGUUUCAAGUACUUGAUGUAUGGAUGUUCUCUCUAUUGAAUGAAUUAUAUAAAUGAGAUUAAGU